rnacentral:rRNA from 1 species
AACGAACGCUGGCGGCAUGCCUAACACAUGCAAGUCGUGCGAGAAAGUUCCUUCGGGAGCGAGUAAAGCGGCGCACGGGUGAGUAACACGUAGGUAACCUGCCCCCCAGUCUGGAACAACUAGAGGAAACUCUAGCUAAUGCCGGAUGAGACCACGAUCCCUUCGGGGGUUGCGGCCAAAGAUGGCCUCUACUUGUAAGCUAUCGCUGAGGGAUGGGCCUGCGGGCCAUUAGCUUGUUGGUGAGGUAACGGCUCACCAAGGCUGUGAUGGCUAGCUGGUCUGAGAGGAUGACCAGCCACACUGGGACUGAGACACGGCCCAGACUCCUACGGGAGGCAGCAGUGGGGAAUAUUGCGCAAUGGGCGAAAGCCUGACGCAGCGACGCCGCGUGGGUGAUGAAGGCC